GCACCCUGGCCAUCCGAAUGACCAGACACAGGGGCCUGAGUGCGUCCCAGCAGGACCGGUCAGCCACAGGACCCUGAGCAAUGGUGAGCGGUCCGAGCCUCCCAGUUUGGGGCUGGACUCUUCCCCGGAGAAUUAAUAGAACGGCUCUGGCCUGACAUGGUCACAACUGUGCUGGCUUCCAAGUGGGGGUUUCUACUCCUGUCGUCUGCACUCCUUUUACGACUCGGACAAGCUUCUCCUUCCCCCCGUCUGUUUGCUGGUGUCAGUGUGGAGUCACGGCACUAAACCCUGGGAAGCACCCACGGUGGUUCCCCAAGUUCACAGCUGUGAGUCUCCCACUGGACCGGCGUGGAGGCAAGAAUCCUCACCGCCAGGGUGCCUGGCCUGCUUUCCGUCCAUUCUCGGGCGCUG